AGCUCCAAUAGCGUAUAUUAAAGUUGUUGCGGUUAAAAAGCUCGUAGUUGGAUUUCGGCGAUCAGGGGCCGGUGAUAUAUUUGUAUCUACUGGCCCAUUUGGUCGUAUUUUUGAAAGAGGGUUUGGGGUCCCCUUCACUGGGUGUCCUAGGUCGCUUUCAGGUUUACUUUGAAAAAAUUAGAGUGCUCAAAGCAGGCUUUAACGCUUGAAUAUUCGUGCAUGGAAUAAUAGAAUAGGAAGUUCGUUGCUAUUUUGUGGGUUUUAGGAUAACGACUUAAUGAUUAAUAGGGACAAUCGGGGGAAUUAGUAUUCAAACGACAGAGGUGAAAUUCUUGGAUUUGGUAAAGACGGACUACUGCGAAAGCAUUUGCCAAGGAUGUUUUCA
rnacentral:rRNA from 1 species